GCAAAUAAAAGCAUUGUUUGGCUUAGUCAGGAAGAUCAGAGGUCAAGAACACUUACCUGAGGAAGAGUUGCUUGAACUUGGAUGUAAAGGGAGAAUAGUACUUAAAACCAGAUGGAGGAAGAACAUUCGAGCAGCAAGAAUACAAUGGACAAUGGCUCUGCAGGCAGGCAUGGUGCACCUAACAAACUGAAGGGCUAAUAAGAGCAGUUACCAGCAUUUUUGGAACAAAGCAGACGGAAGCUGGGAUAGGAGGAAAGAAGAGGACAGAAGCAGAGACAGAGUUCUAAUGAGACAUUUCACCAAGAUUUAUGAAGGCUCCUUCUUGAGCAAACUACAGUGCGAGGUGAUCUGGGGACUAUUGUACAUGAAGCCAUGCAGCUUUGUCUGAAAGAUACCUACUCAACACCUCUGGAUGAGCCCUGUGAGAAAGCUCUCCAACACAGGGGAGGGAAUGAGGCUCUGACAAGCACAGCAAGCACACACGGCCUGGACACGCUGCCGAGGAGCCUCUGCUUUUAACCCUCCAGGCUUUCCAGGCAAAUGGCUAACAGAAGGCUGGUGCUUUCGGAAGGAGACGAGCAACACAAUCAACCAACCACAAGGAAACCAAGUAAGCCCAUGAGGACUCCACACUUGGAACACUGUGUGUGUCUCCAGUUACUGUUGCCCAUGCAGAAGACAAUGGAAUUGAAGAGGCCAUCCAAAGGUCUGGGAGGAAGUAAUGGGGAGGACAGUUUAUUUAUAUAAGAGUAUCUCAAGAAGAGAUUAAGAAGACAAAGACGCUAGUCUGAAAGUAAAUCUGAAGAAGAGUAUAUUUGUAAAAUUGCUAAAAAGUUAUAUAUACCUAUGACUGUCAUUUUCUCAUUUCCCAUUCCUUCAACCCAUUAAGAUAUACCCUCCUUCUGUUUGACAUUACCAGAAUCACUCCUCUAUUUUAAUUAUCCAAUAAUAGGUAUCUUUCCCUCCAGCCAUUCUUUAAAUUAAGACAAGUCAUACCCCUAAAACCAAGGUCUGAUCAUGUAUUUCCUAAGUAGAAAACCCACAAGGACCUUUGUUCACUCAGCAAUGAAAGAUUCUGGAGCCAUGGAUUUCACAGCCUUUUGCAAUAUAAUCUCAACUCGCAUUUAGCGAUUUCUCACUAGAUGCUACCCCUCUCUUUAUCCUUCCAAUCUCAGCCUCUGAUAUCAUCACUAUAGUUAGAGGAGACUGCUCACUGUCCCCUGGAUAUGCCAUUUAUUUACUGCAUUUGUGCCUCCGCACAGAUGCCCAGUUUGAGAUAUCCCCUCUAACAUCAAUCUUCAAAUCUCUGCUAUCUCAAAUACUUUUUAUUGAAGACUUAGCUGAAAUUUCACCUUUCUGUGAAAUCUUCAUCAAUCUGUCAGUUAACAUUAUUUUUUCUCCUCUUUCCUGUAUUCCUUAGCACUUUAUUUGGCCUGUGUUAUACUUAUAAUCCCAUUCUUUGGGUCUCAUUUCUGACUACCCCACUGGGGUAGGGAAGCAAGACAUUUUAGACACAUUUUGAGACUUUGAGGCUGAUGUUAUGAGGAUAACUUUGCCUCUCUACAAUGGAACCUCUGGUGCUGAAAUCAGAAGACUGAGCUAGAAAAAUCAGAGGCCUGACCCAGUGUGUCAGUUUCUGUCAUCUUUAGCUUAUCUCAGACACCAGGAAAUUUAUAGAUUAUAUGUUUGCUCCACUAACAUGAUGAGUCUAAUGCUCAUGGGACAGCUAACUUCCAGGUAGUGAUGACUGAAGAAGUCUACUUUAUUUGCACUGAAUGUUUAUGUAGCAUUGGGUGGAUCAUAUUAUGCAAUAUCUCUAGGCCAAAGCAUCAUUUUCCCAACACUCACUUUCCUAACCUUUAGAUAACUUUAUAAAAUAAUAUGAGUCAUGCGUUGCAAAAGAUUACACCUUCUCCCUACAACAGAAGGGGAAAUUCACUGAUUUCCACUCCCUUUUCCUUAUUCUCAUAAAUCAUAAACUUAAAUUUACCCUAGGGAUUUUAUUUCUUUGAACUCAAUGUACAAGCAUAAAACAAAUUUUGUUCUCACAGGACAUCCCAUUUUUGUUUCAUUAGUUCAAGGAAAGGGUCACUCAAUUUUUAAAGCAUUUGGUUUGAUCUUUGCUAUGAUUCAUGCUACCUAACAUCCACAGACACACUCUAUAUACUGAAAUGUAUCUUAUAUAUAAAAUGUGUCUCCAUGGACCCUAUAAUGGUGGUACUCUCACGUAAAGUACUCAAAAGCUGUAUUAUGGAUACAUGAGUCUAGGCAGGGUAACCAGAAGUAGAAAAUAAAUUAAUUUUGUUGAAUAUUUAAAUAAUUGUUGUUUUGCCCAAGUUCCUAUUACACGACAGAUUUCUGUUUCUUCUUAUGAAAGGUAAAAUACUUCCCUGGGGCUACGGGAGGAAAUGCUUGAAAAAAUUUCACCAAAUAUAAGGCCUAGAUUAUACUAGUUCUAUUUUAUACAUUUUUAUUCUAUGUUCAGCCAUCUCACUGAUAUUUCAUUCCACAGAGAGGGAGGUGAUAAAAUAUUUUUUUAAGGUAAUAAAGGAAAAAGGAAAUAAAGAGGAUUUGUCAUAAUUUAACUAGAUAAAAAUAAUUCUUGUGAUCUUAAUGUAAGAAUAGACUAUGAUCUCUAAAAGAAUACUGAAUUAUGGAAACAUGAUUUUUACAUAAUAGAACCAUUUACACAUAGAAUUUAAUCCUACUAAACAAUAAUUCUUAAGGCUCUAUUGGCUUAUAUACAUUUUUGUCUCUAAAUCCUUUCCAGGGCACCGUUAAGUUAUUUUAAAAUAUUUCCUCAUUGUAUUGCCAUGGAAGAGAUUCUCCCUUACCUCUUCUCAUGACCAAAAUUCUAUUUCCCAUGCUGGGUAUCGACAGGGAACCAUGAUCAUCAACCUUUGCAGAGAACUUCUCUUCAUGAGUUUAAGAUCACAGAGAUUUAUUUGCAAAAACAAAUAGGGAGAGAGAUUCGGCUUAAAAUUUUUUGCCAGAUUAUGGCCAUUAUUUAGUCUUAAAACCCUAAAGGUCUUAGAUAGGAGGGUCAAACCUAGUACAGCACUGUUGGAGCCUGCAAAUGGCAGCUGAACCUGGGAGGAACCAGUUAUUUCCAGGGCAUUUCUCUCCUAUUUCCCACAGUAAAAAAGUUGUCCAAUUUAGAGGCAUUUGGUAUAGCUAGAGUAAGGAGGUAAACAAACAUGCUUUAGAAUUCCAUUUCAUUGACAAAUCUGAAACACAGAUCAAAUUGGCCUUAUUCCAAGACUAAACAGCCCCCCAAAUCAUCUCAUUUUGUACAGCAGAAUCUCAGAGCUUCCAACCCACCUAUGGCACAAGAUCCUGGCCUCCAGUCAGCCAGCUAGUUAUCCAUGGAAGUGGCUCAAGGCUGACACUCAGAUUGACUGGUUCACACUAAUUUACUUCACACAGAUUCCAUUUAUCUCCUAGAAGAUCCCCUGGCAGCAGCUUAUAAUGGCAUAUCCUAGGAUGCCUGCCUGCAUGCGUGUUUAAAGCAACAGCGCUUGAUGAAUCUGAGUCCAGAAAACAGUUCACAGAUUGAGGAGUAGGUGCAAUCAGAAAACAUCAAGAGGCACAGCUGGGACUUGGUGGCUUGCUUGACUGGUCAGAGCAGCUGAGCAUUAAGCGUGUCUGCUUUUCUGCUGGCUGCUCACCAUCACCAGGACAAAUCAGAGAGCCACCCCCUUUUUCCUUUACCAGUCACCCUCCAAAGGAAAAGAGAAAAGAAAGUAUGUCACCAUCCCAGUAGCGUGUGCAGCUGUAGAGAAAGCUAAUUUGAUCAUUUACCUUUACUUCUUAAAUACUUCGAUAUUAUUCUCAGUAGAACUACAGCUGGUAGUUCUAAGGUUAAGUUGUUGAAUGGUUGGAUUGGCAAGAUGUAGUUAGAAAAAGUGGAAGAGAACUUCAACUUAUUUUUUUUACUUUCAACAAUGAGUCCCAAAGAGCUGUCUGAAACGCUAUGAUCAUGGGGCUCAUCGGUCGACCUCCAAAGAAAGGAAGGGUGCCUUUCUGGUUACUCUCCUACAUCUAUAAGAGAGCUUGGGGAAAUAUACAAAAAAGCUGGAUAUUUAUCUAAUGAGUAAAUGGGUGGAUGAAUGUAUGAACAAACAAGUCACUGUUCUCCAGCUGACGUUUUAGAAGUGUGGUGAACCAUUGCACAGUAACAUGGUCAGCCUCCAAAGGUGGAGAGAAUUGAGAUCUUUUAACGGCAUUGAAGCUAAAAGUUUUAAACAAUGACAAUUCACUGAGAAAUGUACCAAAGCAGUGACAUAGCACAUUUAGUACUUAUAAGGUUAAACACUGGGCUGCAGUAGCUGCUUGACCGUAAAAAGUAGGAUUAAGGCUUUUGCAUGAGCCUUGACAUGAUCCUGUUGUCUGUCUGCUGCCUUAAGCUUUGAAAAACAGCUGGGAUCAUCUUCUUAUAAGCUCCAGCUCAAAGAUGUUUAAGCAGUCCCCAAUCCAAUUAAACAGAGGUAAAUAGAAGGAAGAAUUGUACUGAGCACCAUCAUCACCUUUUUUCUUAAUGAAAAACAGUGUAAUUGCGGGUUACACAGCUCCUUAAUCUCACAUUAAAUCUAAUAGAUUGCUGACUUAUACUGAGCAUGACAGUCCCAGCUUUCUAUAUUGGUGUGCUUAAUUUUAGGUCAUUAUCCUUUAUUAUGUGACUUGUAAUCCUUAAAGCCCAUGAUUGUGUCUGGAUAUUUGGCAAGGAUUGUAUUUGGUAAUACAAGGAUUCUGCUUCUAAGAGUGAUGGUUUAAUUGAAUGACAUUGUAUAAUUAUUAGAUGUUCAGAGAAUUACAUAUAUUUCUUUCCUUUUUUAAUUGGCUGGUUUCUUAUAAGUGUUUCCUUCAACAAACAUUGUUCAAGAUUAUUAUUGAGUUUUAGGGGCUCUUCUGAAAAGGACAGCUUUCACAAAUGAAAGACAAGUAGUUUAUUGAUAUGGAAAUGUAUCUAAAUGCUAUUAAAAUGCCCAGUUCAAAUACAAUCCUGGCUCAUCUACAAACUGGGAAACCUUGGUCAUGUUACUUUACCUUUCUGUCUCUGUUUCUUCAUUUAUAAAAUAGCAAUAGUGAUGGUGCCUACCAGGGGCAAGAAACUGUUGUUACAAUUAUAUGAGUUAAAACAUGUAAAGUGCUCAGCCUAAUGGCUCAAAUGUAGACAGUCUAAGUAAAUUCAGUAUUAUUAUUAUUUGUAUAUCUGUCUUUGUCUAGAAAUAUGCAUAAAUGUAAAUAAGAUGUCCAGCCUUAAGGUCAAGACAUUUUAUUUUAUUUUACUAGCAAUGUAGUAAUAUCUAAAAUUUCUCUAACCUAGUAAUAGAAGAAAUAUUUUAAAUAGCUAUAUUAUCUUGAUCUUCAUUGAAGACUGUAGAAAUCUACAAGUUAUUGUUAGUGGCCCCCUUUUAUUUUACCAGUUUAAAGAGGCAUGUCCAUUUGUAUCUAUUAACUAAAUAAAAACCUGUCCAAAGUCA